rnacentral:rRNA from 1 species
UACGGAGGGUGCGAGCGUUGUCCGGAAUCACUGGGCGUAAAGGGCGCGUAGGUGGCCCGAUGAGUCAACGGUGAAAGCUCGGCGCUCAACGCCGAGUCGGCCGUCGAUACUGUCGGGCUGGAGCACUGUAGAGGCAGAUGGAAUUCCGGGUGUAGCGGUGGAAUGCGUAGAGAUCCGGAAGAACACCGGUGGCGAAGGCGGUCUGCUGGGCAGUUGCUGACACUGAGGCGCGACAGCGUGGGGAG